UGUCGAUGCUAUGAUGAUAAAUGUUUAUCCCAGCUCAUUACGAGACCUGUUCCCAGGUCCGUGAUUAGACUCGUUUCCAACGUUUAUCUGAGCAUGAUC
rfam:Punica granatum cultivar Dabenzi scaffold397, whole genome shotgun sequence.